UACGGGGGGGACGAGCGUUGUUCGGAUUUACUGGGCGUAAAGGGCGCGUAGGCGGACUUUCAAGUCGGAAGUGAAAACCGGAGGCUUAACCUCAGGCUUGCUUUCGAUACUGUCAGUCUUGAGUACAGGAGAGGAAAGCGGAAUUCCAGGUGUAGCGGUGAAAUGCGUAGAUAUCUGGAAGAACACCAGUAGCGAAGGCGGCUUUCUGGUCUGAUACUGACGCUAAAGUGCGAAGGCUAGGGGAGCAAACAGG
rnacentral:rRNA from 1 species